rnacentral:rRNA from 5 species
GGUUAAGCGACUAAGCGUACACGGUGGAUGCCCUGGCAGUCAGAGGCGAUGAAGGACGUGCUAAUCUGCGAUAAGCGUCGGUAAGGUGAUAUGAACCGUUAUAACCGGCGAUUUCCGAAUGGGGAAACCCAGUGUGAUUCGUCACACUAUCAUUAACUGAAUCCAUAGGUUAAUGAGGCGAACCGGGGGAACUGAAACAUCUAAGUACCCCGAGGAAAAGAAAUCAACCGAGAUUCCCCCAGUAGCGGCGAGCGAACGGGGAGCAGCCCAGAGCCUGAAUCAGUGUGUGUGUUAGUGGAAGCGUCUGGAAAGGCGUGCGAUACAGGGUGACAGCCCCGUACACAAAAAUGCACAUACUGUGAGCUCGAUGAGUAGGGCGGGACACGUGGUAUCCUGUCUGAAUAUGGGGGGACCAUCCUCCAAGGCUAAAUACUCCUGACUGACCGAUAGUGAACCAGUACCGUGAGGGAAAGGCGAAAAGAACCCCGGCGAGGGGAGUGAAAAAGAACCUGAAACCGUGUACGUACAAGCAGUGGGAGCACGCUUAGGCGUGUGACUGCGUACCUUUUGUAUAAUGGGUCAGCGACUUAUAUUCUGUAGCAAGGUUAACCGAAUAGGGGAGCCGAAGGGAAACCGAGUCUUAACUGGGCGUUAAGUUGCAGGGUAUAGACCCGAAACCCGGUGAUCUAGCCAUGGGCAGGUUGAAGGUUGGGUAACACUAACUGGAGGACCGAACCGACUAAUGUUGAAAAAUUAGCGGAUGACUUGUGGCUGGGGGUGAAAGGCCAAUCAAACCGGGAGAUAGCUGGUUCUCCCCGAAAGCUAUUUAGGUAGCGCCUCGUGAAUUCAUCUCCGGGGGUAGAGCACUGUUUCGGCAAGGGGGUCAUCCCGACUUACCAACCCGAUGCAAACUGCGAAUACCGGAGAAUGUUAUCACGGGAGACACACGGCGGGUGCUAACGUCCGUCGUGAAGAGGGAAACAACCCAGACCGCCAGCUAAGGUCCCAAAGUCAUGGUUAAGUGGGAAACGAUGUGGGAAGGCCCAGACAGCCAGGAUGUUGGCUUAGAAGCAGCCAUCAUUUAAAGAAAGCGUAAUAGCUCACUGGUCGAGUCGGCCUGCGCGGAAGAUGUAACGGGGCUAAACCAUGCACCGAAGCUGCGGCAGCGACGCUUAUGCGUUGUUGGGUAGGGGAGCGUUCUGUAAGCCUGUGAAGGUGUGCUGUGAGGUAUGCUGGAGGUAUCAGAAGUGCGAAUGCUGACAUAAGUAACGAUAAAGCGGGUGAAAAGCCCGCUCGCCGGAAGACCAAGGGUUCCUGUCCAACGUUAAUCGGGGCAGGGUGAGUCGACCCCUAAGGCGAGGCCGAAAGGCGUAGUCGAUGGGAAACAGGUUAAUAUUCCUGUACUUGGUGUUACUGCGAAGGGGGGACGGAGAAGGCUAUGUUGGCCGGGCGACGGUUGUCCCGGUUUAAGCGUGUAGGCUGGUUUUCCAGGCAAAUCCGGAAAAUCAAGGCCGAGGCGUGAUGACGAGGCACUACGGUGCUGAAGCAACAAAUGCCCUGCUUCCAGGAAAAGCCUCUAAGCAUCAGGUAACAUCAAAUCGUACCCCAAACCGACACAGGUGGUCAGGUAGAGAAUACCAAGGCGCUUGAGAGAACUCGGGUGAAGGAACUAGGCAAAAUGGUGCCGUAACUUCGGGAGAAGGCACGCUGAUACGUAGGUGAAGCGACUUGCUCGUGGAGCUGAAAUCAGUCGAAGAUACCAGCUGGCUGCAACUGUUUAUUAAAAACACAGCACUGUGCAAACACGAAAGUGGACGUAUACGGUGUGACGCCUGCCCGGUGCCGGAAGGUUAAUUGAUGGGGUUAGCGCAAGCGAAGCUCUUGAUCGAAGCCCCGGUAAACGGCGGCCGUAACUAUAACGGUCCUAAGGUAGCGAAAUUCCUUGUCGGGUAAGUUCCGACCUGCACGAAUGGCGUAAUGAUGGCCAGGCUGUCUCCACCCGAGACUCAGUGAAAUUGAACUCGCUGUGAAGAUGCAGUGUACCCGCGGCAAGACGGAAAGACCCCGUGAACCUUUACUAUAGCUUGACACUGAACAUUGAGCCUUGAUGUGUAGGAUAGGUGGGAGGCUUUGAAGUGUGGACGCCAGUCUGCAUGGAGCCGACCUUGAAAUACCACCCUUUAAUGUUUGAUGUUCUAACGUGGACCCGUGAUCCGGGUUGCGGACAGUGUCUGGUGGGUAGUUUGACUGGGGCGGUCUCCUCCUAAAGAGUAACGGAGGAGCACGAAGGUUGGCUAAUCCUGGUCGGACAUCAGGAGGUUAGUGCAAUGGCAUAAGCCAGCUUGACUGCGAGCGUGACGGCGCGAGCAGGUGCGAAAGCAGGUCAUAGUGAUCCGGUGGUUCUGAAUGGAAGGGCCAUCGCUCAACGGAUAAAAGGUACUCCGGGGAUAACAGGCUGAUACCGCCCAAGAGUUCAUAUCGACGGCGGUGUUUGGCACCUCGAUGUCGGCUCAUCACAUCCUGGGGCUGAAGUAGGUCCCAAGGGUAUGGCUGUUCGCCAUUUAAAGUGGUACGCGAGCUGGGUUUAGAACGUCGUGAGACAGUUCGGUCCCUAUCUGCCGUGGGCGCUGGAGAACUGAGGGGGGCUGCUCCUAGUACGAGAGGACCGGAGUGGACGCAUCACUGGUGUUCGGGUUGUCAUGCCAAUGGCACUGCCCGGUAGCUAAAUGCGGAAGAGAUAAGUGCUGAAAGCAUCUAAGCACGAAACUUGC